GACGAACGCUGGCGGCGUGCUUAACACAUGCAAGUCGAACGGUGAACGAGGGAGCUUGCUCCCUCCGGAUCAGUGGCGAACGUGUGAGUAACACGUGAGCAAUCUGCCUCGAACUCUGGGAUAAGCGUUGGAAACGACGUCUAAUACCGGAUACGACGCUGCAGGGCAUCCUCUCCGCGUGGAAAGAACUUCGUUUCGGGAUGGGCUCGCGGCUUAUCAGCUUGUUGGUGAGGUAACGGCUCACCAAGGCGACGACGGGUAGCCGGCCUGAGAGGGUGACCGGCCACACUGGGACUGAGACACGGCCCAGACUCCUACGGGAGGCAGCAGUGGGGAAUAUUGCACAAUGGGCGGAAGCCUGAUGCAGCAACGCCGCGUGAGGGACGACGGCCUUCGGGUUGUAAACCGCUUUUAGCAGGGAAGAAGCGAAAGUGACGGUACCUGCAGAAAAAGCACCGGCUAACUACGUG
rnacentral:rRNA from 1 species